rnacentral:rRNA from 1 species
UAAACGGUGGGCACUAGUUGUGGGGACCUUCCACGGUCUCUGCGACGCAGCUAACGCAUUAAGUGCCCCGCCUGGGGAGUACGAUCGCAAGAUUAAAACUCAAAGGAAUUGACGGGGCCCCGCACAAGCAGCGGAGCAUGCGGCUUAAUUCGACGCAACGCGAAGAACCUUACCAAGGCUUGACAUAUACAGGAAUAUGGCAGAGAUGUCAUAGCCGCAAGGUCUGUAUACAGGUGGUGCAUGGUUGUCGUCAGCUCGUGUCGUGAGAUGUUGGGUUAAGUCCCGCAACGAGCGCAACCCUCGUUCUGUGUUGCCAGCAUUUAGUUGGGGACUCACAGGAGACUGCCGGGGUUAACUCGGAGGAAGGUGGGGAUGACGUCAAAUCAUCAUGCCCCUUAUGUCUUGGGCUGCACGCAUGCUACAAUGGCUGGUACAAACGGCUGCAAUACCGCAAGGUGGAGCGAAUCCGAGAAAGCCAGUCUCAGUUCGGAUUGGGGUCUGCAACUCGACCCCAUGAAGUCGGAGUUGCUAGUAAUCGUAGAUCAGCAACGCUACGGUGAAUACGUUCCCGGGGCUUGUACACACCGCCCGUCACGUCACGAAAGUCGGUAACACCCGAAGUCAGUGCCCAA